GGGGGCGUGGCGUAGGGGUUAUCACGCUUCAUUUGCAAUCAUAAUUUGAAGAGGUCACGAGUAUAAUUCUCGUCUUCUCCA
rnacentral:tRNA from 1 species